UACGAGGGGUGCAAGCGUUUAUUCGGAUUUACUGGGCGUAAAGGGUGUGUAGACGGUUUACUAAGUCUGUUGUUAAAAUACUCUGGCUUAACUGGAGAUCAGCAGUGGAAACUAGUAGACUAGAGGUUGGGAGAGAGAAGUGGAAUUCCCGGAGUAGCGGUAAAAUGCGUAGAUCUCGGGAGGAACACCGAUGGCGAAGGCAGCUUCUUGGCCCAUACCUGACGUUUGAGACACGAAAGCGUGGGGAGCAAACAGG
rnacentral:rRNA from 1 species